UACGGAAGGUCCGGGCGUUAUCCGGAUUUAUUGGGUUUAAAGGGAGCGUAGGCUGGAGAUUAAGCGUGUUGUGAAAUGUAGACGCUCAACGUCUGCACUGCAGCGCGAACUGGUUUCCUUGAGUACGUACAAAGUGGGCGGAAUUCGUGGUGUAGCGGUGAAAUGCUUAGAUAUCACGAAGAACUCCGAUUGCGAAGGCAGCUCACUGGAGCGCAACUGACGCUGAAGCUCGAAAGUGCGGGUAUCGAACAGG
rnacentral:rRNA from 1 species